CGAACGCUGGCGGCGUGCCUAAUACAUGCAAGUCGAGCGCAUGAAGCAAGUUGAUCUCCUCCGGGAGUGACGCUUGUGGAGUGAGCGGCGGAUGGGUGAGUAUCACGUGGGCAACCUGCCUGUAAGAUUGGGAUAACUCGCGGAAACGUGAGCUAAUACCAGAUAAUCCUUUUCUUCUCCUGAGGAGAAGGUAAAAGAUGGCUCCGGCUAUCACUUACAGAUGGGCCCGCGUCGCAUUAGCUAGUUGGUGGGAUAAAUGCUCACCAAGGCAACGAUGCGUAGCCGACCUGAGAGGGUGAUCGGCCACACUGGGACUGAGACACGGCCCAGACUCCUACGGGAGGCAGCAGUAGGGAAUCUUCCGCAAUGGACGAAAGUCUGACGGAGCAAACCGCCGCGUGGGUGAUGAAGGUUUUCGGAUCGUAAAACUCUGUUGUUAGGGAAGAACAAGUGCGGUUCGAAUAGGGCGGCACCUUGACGGUACCUAACCAGAAAGCCCCGGCUAACUACGUGCCAGCCGCUGC
rnacentral:rRNA from 1 species